rnacentral:sRNA from 2 species
CAUCGGUCACCGCCUAAUCGCCCAGUAGGGCGUACCGGGGAACCAUCCGUUUCGGAUCUCCGAAUUGGGGUGAAUCGCGUUGUGCUCGGCCUCGUGCUGAACGCUGCCGUGUGCAUCGCGUAGGGCCAUUCUUCCGGCCCGAACCCGACAGCUAACCCGGUCGGCGGUCGAGGGAGAGCAA